rnacentral:rRNA from 1 species
GACGAACGCUGGCGGCGUGCUUAACACAUGCAAGUCGAGCGAACCUUCGGGUUAGCGGCGAACGGGUGAGUAACACGUGGGCAACCUGCCCCGAGCUCUGGGAUAACCCCGGGAAACCGGGGCUAAUACCGGAUAUGACAUCGAGGAGCAUUUCUCGAUGUGGAAAGUUUUUCGGCUCGGGAUGGGCCCGCGGCCUAUCAGCUUGUUGGUGGGGUGACGGCCUACCAAGGCGACGACGGGUAGCCGGCCUGAGAGGGCGACCGGCCACACUGGGACUGAGACACGGCCCAGACUCCUACGGGAGGCAGCAGUGGGGAAUAUUGCGCAAUGGGCGAAAGCCUGACGCAGCGACGCCGCGUGAGGGAUGAAGGCC